rnacentral:lncRNA from 1 species
GCAAACUAAUGAGAAAAGCAAUAUAAUUAACUAAAACAACAAAAUUGAAAUGACUUAACUUGUUUAGUAGUUAACUGCCUAAGCCGUGGCAUGCUUUUGAAACUCACUAUUUUAAUCAAACAAAGUGAACUGGCAGAAUGUUACUAUUACCAUAUGUGUUCUUUGACUAUCAUACAUAAGGAAUUUAUUAACUAAGCUACAACAAGAUGUUCAGUUCUACAUAAUCAAACGCCUACAUGAUACUAAUAGAUGAAGCUAACUAAUGUACAUACACAACAAAAUUCAAAAUAUAACUAAGAUAAAUUCAAAACUCCAACUUUUCGUUUCAUAUUCAUGCUUCAGUUUUUAUUCUACAGGAACCAAUGUAUCAAUUUGUGUACCUGGUAUUUGGAAGGCAAGGAAAAAGAGGAGAUCAGUGAUAGCAGCAGUAUGCACACACAGCAACAACAGUUCCAGCAACAACUGCAAUAAACAAAUAUCAAACAAUAGCAAGAAUCCCAGGAAAGUUUUGAAAACAAGCAGGAACAACCCAGGAACUUUCAAACCCAACAGAAAAUGCAAGAAAUACCACACUAAAAGACCCAGUAAUACCCGAAAUGCCUUCACAGUCGAAGUAAAAAAUGAGGCAGAAACAAGAAAGCAGUAUUUCUAAUUGUGAGCACUUAAAGAAACAAACUGAAACUCUUGAAGUAAAGCUCAGCCAAACACUCACUUAAGUUUUGGAAUCCUAAUGCGCAAAUUUCAGUCUUAAGAUAUUAAGUUCUGAUAUUAUGCCUUCAAAAAUCUGUUAUAACUCACUCCUCAAAUCUGAAAUUCUCAAAGUCUCCUCCUUUCUUAAACUUAUUUCUCUCUAUUUAUAGGCCAACAUUUUCUAUUCAAAACUUUUCUUUUCAGCGUGUAUAUUCCCUCCCCAUGUGCAUUUAUACCCCUUUAUCAUUCAACCCUUAAUGUUUCUGAUUUCCAAUUAGGAAAGGUAUUUAAAAGAAAUGUCAGCUUUUAAUUCUUUAUUAAGACCCCAUGUUAUUUGUGAUUUCCAACUAGUAAACCACUUAUUUUGUUUUUUAAUCCCAAAAGUAUAUGGCCAGCUUGAAUAUUAAAUUCAGGCGUGCCUGGCAAUACAUGGUCUUCACUCAACCCCCUAACCCUAUGUUUACUAGUCUAAAACUACCUCUAUAUAAGCUUAGAUUUAAAACUGAUUUUAGGUUAAGCUUACAGAUUACUUACAACUAUAUCCAAUUCAUACUAAGAGCAAUCACUUAUUCAACUCAAUCAAAUCACAGAAGUGGUGUUGAUCAGAUGGCCUGAGUUGAUCAUAUUGGGAGCCAAUCCUUACCAACUCAAAGCCAAAUGAGCAAAAAAGGCAACAACUAUUAAAGGCUCAGAUCAAAGCAGAAAUGAACAUGCUUGUUGAUACAAGUCUCAACACAUGACAAGAGAAGCAUGCUAGAAAUUAACUGGAAUGAACAAUUCAUGAUUCUCUAGUUUUUUCAGUGCAUUCAGUUGACAACAUUCAAUUAAUUGACUAUAUGAACUGCAACAGAUAGCUAACAAUCGAUAAUCAAAAUACAUCAAGCAUGUUAGAGGAUUUCAGUGACUUCAGCAAAUAACCUAAUGUGAACUAACUAUUUUGACGAUUUAAUCAAGCUAAACACCUUCUUAAUCACAACAGGUACGACUAAUAAAGAAAUAGAAGAAAUGACAAAAUAAAAGGUAUUAUGGAGAUGGACAGAAUUGAAAGAAAAAUAACUUAAAAAUCAAACAAAAUAACUAAAAAUGCAAACAAACACAAAUAGAACACAAACAAGAGCAGAAGGAGAAGAAUAAAAUACCUUAGAAGCUUAGAAAAGAGACGACCCCUGUUCAAAUUGGACCUGAUCUCUUUGAGUUCGAACGAACUUUAAUCGAACCUUUCUCACCCGAGAACACCUCGAUUAAGGUCUAUUAGACCCCAACAAUUUGAUAAUUAGGAUAGACUCUCAUGGAUUUGUGUUCUAGGGUUCAAACAUUCGAUUUAGGGCUUGAAGGUUUCUGGUUUGAUUCGGACCAAACCAUCGUUUGUAAAGAUAUGAGGGAGGUCAAGGGAUAGGUUAGGGUUUUGCUCGAAUCUUUAAAUGAAGAUUCCAGACGAUGGGCAUUGAUUCAAGGUAAAAGGCUUGUGGAUACGUAAUCAGAGUGUGAAGGUGGUUCUAUGGUGUUAAGAUGGUGGUCGGCGGCGUAGUUGCCGCCGGGUUUCAGGCGAAUGGGAGCUAUGGCGGCUAGGGUUUACAGGUCUCGUCUCUGAGUUGAGAGAGACGAAGUGGGAGGGGUGUGCUUGGUUAUGGGGGACGAGGGGUGAGAGACAGAGGCUUAUAUAGGGGGUAGGGGGAUUUGAUCCUGGUCGUUGGAUCAAGAAUGAUCGACGGCCAAGUUCUUUCACUUGGGUGAAACGAUGUUGUAUAAUUCCAGUGAGACUGGGUUGGUUUCUAGGGUUAAGUGGGUCGGGUAUCUGGGAAAGCCUCAAGUCGUUGGGUUAGAUGGGAUGAACAACUUAGAUCAAUUGUAAUCAUGCGGUAUCGUUUGGAUUAAUGAAAGAACUAAACUGUACAGUUAGAUUUGACUGAUUAACGGUCCAUAUUAAAAGCAUCCAAACGACGUAGUUUGGGGGACGUUUGGGGGACGGUUUAGAGACCUGGUCCUAGACUAGGUUAUUGCACACAUUGAGCCUUAUCUUUUGGUUUAAUAAUGAAGACCAACUCCAACAUUUUCUUAAAUUUUUUGCACUCUUUUCCUUCUUUUAGUUAACCAAACUAACAAAAAUCCGAAUAAAAAUGUAAAAUAAAAAUAAAACUACAAAAUAUUAAUUAACACUUACAACAAGUAACACACACAUUAAAUCAUUCAAUUAAGAUAAAAUCACCUAGUGACAAAAAAAAUAGAAUAAAAAGGCAUAUUUUGUGAUUUUAUUUUUAACAACCAAAUUGUGGUUCAAUUAAAUCCUAAAUGCAUAAUUAAAUCCUAAAUAUGCAUGCAACAUGUAUUUUUUUUCUUUUUUGUAUUUUUUAAUUAACCACAACAAGGUAAACAUUUACGGACGAAACAAUUAAAAAAAUGUCACACAAAUUCUCAAAAAUUGUACCCGAAUGUAACUUGUUUUAUUUUUUGAUUUCUUUUUGAGUAAUAUCUGUGAAGCAAAAAUCACGUGCUCACAAGUUUCACCAAGACUUUCACUACUACAUUCGGCGGUGCAUCUACUAAGAGUUCCCAUGAUUAUCUAGACAAUUGUCAUGACGUUCUCAGGGACAUUGGGAUCGUGGAGACCAAUGAGGUAGAUUUUGCUACAUUUUGCUUGUCUGGAUCUGCCGAGACCUGUUGGAAAUAUUAUUGGUUGGCUAUACUUCUAGGUCAUCAACUUCGACUUUGGAGCAAUUAUCAGAGUUUUUUCUGGAGAAGUUUCUCCCCGUUACUCAAAGAGAAGCCUAUUGGAGGAAGUUCGAGCGUCUCCAGGUUCUAUGAAUGGUACUCAGUACGAAACCUGAUUCAUCGACUUGGAUCGUCAUGCUCAUACCAUGCUUCCCACUGUGAGAGAGAGUGAGGAGGUUCAUUGAAGGACUCGUCCAGCCCGCUCAGUUUGUUGGGGGUAGAGGUAGAUGUAUUAGAGGUGGAGGUAGAAAUGGUAGAGGUUGAGGGGAAGGCAUUAGAGGUGGAGGUGCAGGUACUAUUCUGGUUCGUAGCAGAGAAGCUUCGGUUUAUUGUUUUGCCGCAUCUGGUCAUGCAUAGUAGUUCUUUGAGUGCCCCUGUUAAUGUGUCUAUGCCGGUGGGUGAUUUUACUGUGGUGGAUCGUGUCUAUUGAUCAUGUAUAGUUGUGAUUGGAGGUCUUGAGACUCGUGUAUAUUUGUUUCUCUUGGACAUAGUCGACUUUGAUCUUAUAUUGGGGAUGGAUUGGUUAUCACCUUACCAUGCUAUCUUGGAUUGUCAUGCCAAGGCUGUGACCUUAGCUUUACCAAGUUUGCACCUUUAGAGUGGAGAGGGAUUCCAGGUCAUUCUACCCGCUAUGUUAUCACGUAUGUGAAGGCUCGACAUAUGGUCGAGAAGGGGUUUUUGGCUUAUUUAGAUUAUGUUCGUGAUUCCAGUGCUGAGGUUCCCUCUAUUGAUUCUGUGCCCAUGGUUCACGAGUUUCCUAAGGUUUUCCCUUCAGACCUGACGUGUACGCCACCUCACAGGGAUAUUUAUUUUUGCAUUGAUUUGUCUCCGGGCACAUAGCCCAUCUCUAUUCCUCCAUAUCGCAUGGACCCACAAGAGUUGAAAGAGUUGAAGGAGCAGUUGCAAGACUUGCUUUAGAAGUUUCAUUAAGCACAGUGUGUCACCAUGGGGUGCGCCGGUGUUGUUCAUAAAGAAGAAGGAUGGUUCGAUGAGAAUGUGCAUUGAUUACCGGCAAUUGAACAAGGUUACAAUCAAGAAUAAGUAUCCACUGUCGAGGAUUGAUGAUUUAUUUGAUAAAUUUUAAGGUGCCAAGGUAUUUUCAAAGAUAGACUUGAGAAUUGGCUGACAUCAAUUGAAGUUUAGGGCAUCCGAUGUCCCUAUGAUAGCUUUCCAAACUUGGUACGGACAUUAUAAAUUCUUGGUCAUGUCUUUUGGCUUAACAAAUGCCCCAACAGCUUUUAUGUAUCUGAUGAACCAUGUUUAGGGCUUAUUUAGACUUGUUCGUGAUAGUCUUCAUUGAUGACAUAUUGAAAUACUCCCUUAUCCAGGAGGAGCAUGAGCAGCAUCUCAGAGUGGCUCUUCAGACUCUGAAAGAUAGUCAGUUCUACGCAAAAUUUAAAAGUGUGAGUUUUGGUUGAGUUCAAAUACUUUCCUGGGUCAUUUUGUUAUGGCGGAGGGUAUUCAGGUUGAUCCAAAAAAGAAUGAGACAGUCAAGAACUGGCCUAGACCAACAUCAGCUACAGAGAUCCGGAGUUUCUUAGGAUUGGCAGGUUACUACGGUUUGUGGAGGGAUUUUCAUCUAUUACAACCUCGAUGACAAGAAUGACCCAGAAUGGUGCCCAUUUCAAAUGGCCGUACGAAUAUAAUGCGAGCUUUCAGAGGCUUAACACAUCUUUGAGUACGACACGGAUAUUAGUUUUGCCCGCAGGUUUAUGACCUUAUAUAGUCUAUUAUGAUGCUUCCCGUAUUGGAUUUGGCGCAAUGUUAAUGUAGGAUGUCAAGAUCAUUGCCUAUGCUUCGAGGCAGUUGAAGAUUCAUGGGAAAAACUAUCAUGUGCAUAAUUUGGAGGUAACAGCCAUUGUUCACGCAUUGAAAAUUUGGAGGCAUUAUUUGUAUGGCAUGGCAUGUGAAGUGUUCACUGAUGACAAGAGUCUUCAGUACUUGUUUAUGCAAAAGGAAUUGAAUUUGAAGCAGAGGAGUUGGUUGGAACUAUUGAAGGAUUAUGACAUCACUAUUUUAUAUCACCCAAGAAAAGCCAAUGUGGUGGCAGAUGCUUUGAGUAGGAAGUCAACCAGUAUGGGCAGUCUUGCUUAUAUUCCAGUCAGUCAGAGGCCACUUGUUUUGGAUGUUCAUGCUUUAGCCAACCGAUUUGUGAAGUUGGAUAUUUCUAAGCCUAGUUGGGUAUUAAUUUGCACUAUCUCUCGUUCUUCACUAUUGGAGUAUAUCCGUGAUCGGUAGUUUGUGUUUCCCGUUUAUGUGUCCUUAAAGACAUGGUGCAACGAGGACGUGCCAAACAGGUUAAAUUAGAUACUGAUGGAGUUUUAAGAUUUCGAGGGCGAGUUUGUGUGCCAAAUGUUGAUGGGCUUCGAGAAUUGAUUUUAGAGAAGGCCCACAGUUCCCCGGUAGUCUAUUCAUCCAGGCACCGCAAAGAUGUAUCAGGAUUUGCGGCAACAUUAUUGGUGAGCGUAGAAUUAAGAAGGAUAUUGUGGGAUAUGUGGCACGGUGUUUGAAUUUUAGUAGGUUAAGUAUGAGCAAAAGAGGCCUGGUGGAUUAUUUUAGGGGAUUGAGCUUCCCCAGUGGAAGUGGGAGUGUAUCACUUUACUGGACUCUCGUUGACUAGGAAGACGUUUGAUACGGUUUGGGUCAUUGUUGAUAGGUUGACCAAGUCGUCGUAUUUCAUUCCUGUGGCAUUCUCUUAUUCAUCCGAGAGGUUAGCUGAGAUUUAUAUCCAGGAGAUUGUUCGCCUUCAUGAGGUGCCGAUAUCUAUCAUCUCGGAUCAAAGUACGUAGUUUACCUCGCAUUUUUGGAAAGUAGUUCAGCGAGAGUUAGGCACCCAGGUGCAGUUGAGUACAACAUUUUAUCAUCAGACGGACGGGCAAUCCGAGCGGACCAUUCAGAUAUUGAAGGAUAUGCUCCAAGCUUGUGUUAUUGACUUUGGAGAUUCGUGGGAUCAAUUCUUGCCCUUAGCAAUGUUUGCCUACAACAACGGCUACCACAUAAGUACCAAGAUGGCUUCUUAUGAGGCUUUAUAUGGUAGGAGGUGUCGAUCUCCGGUUGGAUGGAUGGAGCCGGGAGAGACUCGGCUGUUGGGUAUAGAAUUGGUGCAGGAGGCCUUAGAAAAUGUUAGAAUCAUUCAGGAUAGGCUUCAUACAGCUCAGUCCAGGAAAAAGAGCUAUGUAGAUCGUAAGGUUCGAGAUGUAGAUUUCAUGGUUGGUGAGCGAGUAUUGCUCCGAGUGUCGCCUAUGAAGGGCAUGAUGAAGGGAAAUCUUAGCCCUAGGUUCAUUAAUCCGUAUAAGAUUCUUGAGUUAGUUGGAGAUGUGGCUUAUAGACUUGCAUUGCCUCAAAACUUAUCAGCAGUGCAUCCAGUUUCUUAUGUGUCCACGCUUCGAAAAUAUCACGGCGAUCCAGCCCACGUGCUAGACUUUCAACACUAUCCAGUUGGAUAAGGACUUGUCUUACGAGGAGGAGCCGUUGGCUAUUUUAGACCGGUAGGUUUGUCAAUUGAGAUCCAAUAGUUUUCCUUCUAUUCGUAGUCAGUAGAGAGAUCAGCCUCUUGAGGCUUCGACCUGGGAGCCUGAUUCCGAUAUGCGGAGCCGUUAUCCUCAUUUAUUCCGCGACUCACGUACUUCUUUCUUCUGUCCGUUCGGGGACAUACAGUUGUUUUAGAGGUGAAGAAUGUGACGACCCAAAGGGGUCAUCACUUAUUAUCUUAUCCAUUCCGAGCUUUCGAGGUCUUGAAAACCAUAUUUAUAGUCGCCUCGAUUUGCAUGCACAUUUGAGGCGCGUAGCCGGAAGCUCAAAUAUGAAAUUAUGUGAAAGUUUUGUAAUUUUUAAUAUUAAAAUGAAUAAAUUAGACUUCGGUCAACAUUUUAAGUAAACUGACCCGGACCUGUAAUUUGACAGACCUGGAAGGUCCGUGGAAAAAUAUGGGACUUGGGCGUAUGCCCGGAACCGAAUUUCGAGGUCCCAGGCUGGAGAAAUGAUUUUUUGAGUAAAAUUGUUUUCCAAAAAUAUUUAAGGAAAAUAAAAAUGAAAUUUGAUUAAAAGUGAUGGUAUCGGGCCUGUAUUAUUAUUUCCGCCGCCCGGUACAGGUCUUAUAUGUGGUUUAAGCGCUUUCAGUAAAAUAUGGUUGAAAAUAGACGUCAUUUGACGUGUUUCGGAUUUAAAGUCCUAAAAAAGUUUAUGAAAUUUGGAAGAAAUCAUGGAUUUUAAGACUUAAUUCAUUAUUUUUGAUGUUAUUUUUGCGAGUUGAUCACACAGUUAUGUUCGUAGGAUGUUUUUGAGUUAGUAUACAUGUUUGGUUUGGAGCCUCGAGGGCUCGGGUGAGUUUUAGAUAGGUGUCGGAGUGCUUUUGACUUAAGAAAUGCAGCAGAAAUAACUCUUGGCUGUUUUCCAGAUCCUUCUAUACGAUCGCUUUCUACCCUCCACGAUAGCAUUGAAUAAUGUCUCAACAAUAUUUUUCCUUCUACGCGAUCGCGUGUAUCCUUGCACGAUCGGAAUGCCAAAAAAUCUCACACUACGCUAUCGCAUACUUGCUCCCGCGAUAGCAGUGCACCUCGUACCUUAACCUAUGCGAUCGCAAUCCCUUCUUCGCGAUCGCAUAGAGUAAAUUCUGUCCAGUUCUUUAAAGUCCCAAAAAAACAGAACGUUUACGGGAUCUUCACAAUAUUUCACAAACCCUAUCUUAUUCAAAGCUCUUGGACGAUCCUUGGAGCAUUUCUUCACCAAAGUUUCUUUAGUAAGUGUUUUUAAUUCGUUUUCUUUAUUUUCCAUCAAUAUCUUUGAUUUCCUGGGCCUAAAACAUAUGAAAAUAGGUAGAAAUUAGAGAAAUGGGUAGGUUAGAGCUUUUUGAAUUUCCUUGAAUUAGACCUCGUUUUGGGGUCAAAUUUGCAAGCAAAUUAUAUAUUCAGACUCGUUGGGUGAUAGGAAUUUAGUUCGAACCUCCUGUUUUGAACAAGUGGGCCCAAAGUCGAUUUGUGAAAGAAUGUUUAGAAAAUUAUAUUUAGGCAUUUGAAUUGGAUUGUUGAGCAUUUAUUGAUGAUAUUAAAUCAAUUGUGUAUGGAUACGAUUGAAUUGGAGCCAAAUUUGAAAGGAAAAGUGGUGCUUAAGGAUUGAGUUGGCCGUAGAACUAUGAGGUAUGUGUUUGGUAUAACCUUAGCUUGAGGGAACAACCUGUCACCUUACAUUUGAACAUUGUGAAUUAAAAUAAACUUCCUAAAGGCUUGCCUACCCAAAUGUGGCCGGCCUAAAUAUGCUACUAGCGAUUAAAUAUAAUAUAAACCGUAAAAUAUUUCUAGUGCUCAGACUUCCUUAUAAUUUUUGGACUCCCAAUCUCCACGGUCUAACAUCGUCUUAGUAUCCAUGCCACUAAUAAAUCUAAUUAAUUUUGUUAACUUAGUUCUACUGUCAUCAAAGUGUUAAUUCUAAAGCUUAUAGUUCAAUUAAGGGAAGUAGUAGAGAAUCAAAAUUUAUUUUAGCCAUUAAACCCAUCCAAGCAGGGAUUAAACCAAUGGUUAAUAACAAAUUCAGUCAACAAACAGUAGAACAUCAUUAAAAUAGAGCAAUGAACAUCCAAACAAAUGGGGAAGUGAUAGAUUAACGAAGUGAUUAAGUACAAACAAUAUGUAAGGGAGGAAGAAAUAAACCUUACUGGCGAAAGUUUCUUCCAGAUUAGAGAAAGUCUAAAUCUACAGUAUUGUCUGGAUGAAGAGCAACAAAAAUUCAACAACCAAAUUGAGUAUUCACGGGAAAAUCAACAUGAGCGCUAAUCGGACCUCGAACACCGACCUAAACCAGCUCCAUCUCAGUAGCGAAACUCAAACCUGACAUCAGAAAUGAGCUGAAAGCCGCCUGAGAUUUGACUAUUUAUAGCAGAAAAUCUUGGGCUUGAGUUUUGAGCAAGAUUUAACAAUUCAAAUUAAUUGUAAAUAGCCCAAAUCUGAACGUUGGGGAUUCAAUUUCAAGUGACUUGGCUAUAUUCUGAAAGGGGUUGUCCUGGGUGACUGGUCCGUUGGUAACAGCUGUGCGAUUUUUUCUGGUGAGUACGUUGGAAAGGGACUAGGGUGCGGUAGCUCAGGUGUAUGGCUGGUCCAACGGGUUAAGGUUGAGGAACAGGUAGUCGUAGUUCGCUGGGGUUAUGAUUUAGGUGGUAUUUCCGGCGAUUUUUGGUUUUUAGCGGUGGUGGUUAUUGAGCUGAAGCUUUUUGACUGCAAAAAUGGCUGAUAGUUUUGUAUUGCAGGGCUGAAGAAGAUGACGAGGAAUGGGGGGAGGAGUCGCUAGGCUGAUGGAAGCUAGCUCGAUAUGGUAGGGCGGAGAUAGGGUCGUUUGGGGUGAAGUGAAAGGAGAGAGCAGGGGUCGUUUGGGGUGAACGGCGCUGGAUUGUUUAAUUCACGCUCGGUCUCGUUAGGGGUGUGGGGAAUACUGCGCUUUAUUUUUAAAGAAGAAGAA